GGAAUCUUCCACAAUGGACGCAAGUCUGAUGGAGCAACGCCGCGUGAGUGAAGAAGGUCUUCGGAUCGUAAACUCUGUUGUUAGAGAAGAACACGAGUGAGAGUAACUGUUCAUUCGAUGACGGUAUCUAACCAGCAAGUCACGGCUAACUACGUGCCAAG
rnacentral:rRNA from 1 species